AUGUUCCUUUUUCCACUUGUUUUGGGGUUUUUGCUGCCAGAAACUCUGAAUACUUUUGUACUCGAAAUCCAAUUUAUGACACGUUGUAUGACGCACCAUGAUGCUUGGAUUUACAACGGCUACGGGUGUUAUUGUGGAAUUGGAGGUAGUGGAGACAUUUUAGAUGAUAUUGACGAGUAAUAAUUUAGAUGCUGUGCUAACCAUGACAAAUGCUAUGAAGACCUUGAUCUCAAAAAAACAUGCUGGACAACUCCAUUUGAAUACUUUCCAAUUUACUCCUGGAAAUGUCAAAAUCAAACUAUUCACUGUGAUACACUAAGUGAGGCAUCUGAUCAUCCAGUCUUAGCUCACGAGUGCAGUAAUCAAUUAUGUGAAUGUGAUCGAAAACUCGUGGAGUGUUGGGCAAAGUACCCGGAGCCAACAGGACAGCUAAAGUGCCCACAUCCCAGGCUUUCCCGGUUUUUGCUGAAAUUGCAGAAGAAGAUGUUGAGCUAA